AAUCUCCUCCUGAAUUAAAAACCGGUCUCAGUGACAUUUUUGCUCAAAAUGAUCUUGCUGUUGUGGAUGUCAGAAUCGGUGUGUCUAGGAGGUUUGGCUAUGUGGAUUUUGAAUCUGCUGAAGACCUGGAAAAAGCCUUGGAACUCACUGGUUUAAAAGUCUUUGGCAAUGAAAUUAAAAU